GCCCCCAUAAUGUAGCGGUCAAGCAUUCGGCCUUCUCAAGGCCGCAACCCGAGUUCGAAUCUCGGUGGGGGCA
rnacentral:tRNA from 1 species